CAAAAGUUGUUUUUUUUCUUUUCAAGGGAGGAUUAAAGCCCCCUAGCGCCCCUGUAGAACCACGCCUCUACACAUUAGUCGCACGCUAAAUGUAAACAGUCUGUAUUAAAUUUUAUAGUUGAAAGAAACCAAUAUAGGCCUAAGUGGUAGCCUUGAUCAUUCAACGAUUGUCUUCCUUGUUUUAAUUUACAGAUGACACUCCGAGGAAUACAAACCAGUCUGUUGCCUUGCGAAUCAGACGGACCAGCACCAACAGUCUCUUUGCCCCAGUGAGUUCAGCCUAUUAUCAAACAACCACUGGAUCACUAGAUCGCAGGGUUGUGGAAAAUUCAGCUGACCGUUGGGAACACGACAACGAUGCACCCACUACUAGCAGUCAGCUGCCUGCUACAGAAAUGCUUUUUGAUCCUGAUGUCCAAGACAACAGGCCACACCCACCUGUAGCCCAGCCCAUUCGCUACCAGUCUCCUGUCCAUUACGAAGACAUCGAUCAGUACCUCGUACCAUCGCACUCCAUUCAUAUUAGAGAGUAUUCCACCUAUCUGGGGGAGGAUCGGCAGAAGAUCAACGGGCCAGAUUGAGAGGGCGAGAAGUGGAAUACUCUCGCUCAACCAUUCCGUGCUUAAAUGCAUCCUUCUCCGUCACGGAAAUGGCAGAUUUAACUCCAGUUUGGUCCUUUGCACACGUAAACGAUGCGCAUAACGUACUGUGCAAGCGAAACACCCAAAUGUAAUUAAGGACUACGGAUAUGAAACUUUAGUGUGCGUAAGCUUCUAAAUAGGCAGAGAUUGCAUGUAUGAAGUAAUUGAGACAAUGAAAAAAGUCAAGUCCGUUCCAACAGUCAAUCAUGCAAAGAAAUUUAGAUUAUUUGGAGAUGGCAAAAUUAAACUGAGUAUGUAAACUAUCCGUUGGCUUUUUGAACCAGAAAAUGUUCAAAUAAAGACAUUUGUAAUUGCAUCAUUCAAUUUGUGAUUAUUAAAAGAAUUUAAUACAUAGAAAUAUACAAAGCGCACGAUCAAGAAUGACUUUUUGCCCAGCAAAUAGCUUUUAUGUCAGUAGAUCUUUCCGUCUGUAUAUUCUUCACAGUGUAUUGUAUAUUAACUCGGGAUGUACUGUCCAUCUAUUAGUCGCAACGAUGAGGAGAAACAGAAAUGUAAUUGAUUUGUUGCAAUGUACAAGAUCGUAAUUCGGUGUUUAUGAAGCUAGCGUAUUGUAAUUUAUUGCUAAAAUAUUGAAUGCACUUCCAAGACGUAUUUGGCAGAACAUGUUUUAAAAAGAUUUUGAAGCCCCCUUCCAAUUCUGAGCUGUAAAAUUGAAUAAAAUAAAAUUGAGCCGUCGGUUGAAGCUGAACACACAUG